CAAGUACUGCGAAGGAAAGGUGAAAAGAACUUUGAAAAGAGGGUUAAAAGACUUGAAAUCGUUGAGAAGAAAGUGGUAGAAGAGUAAUCAUUUGUGUACGAUAUUCGGGUUGCUUGGAGGAUUGGUAAGGCUUUAGUACUUCAUAGGCUGUGCUUUGCUAAAUCUGACUCGCUGCUUGUUAUUCGUAUGCAAGAGGCAAAAUGAGGUUAGUCGUCAGGAGUCGUCUAUUUAGAAGACCCUCGUGCUUGCAUGGGGAGCUAGGUAGAAAAACUGAAGACUAGUCUGAGGGGCCUGCGGGCGAUUUUGCCAAAGUGGCUUCUACUGUCCCGUCUUGUAACACGGACCAAGG
rnacentral:rRNA from 1 species